rnacentral:rRNA from 1 species
GAAACGGCUACCACAUCUAAGGAAGGCAGCAGGCGCGUAAAUUACCCACUCCCAGUUCGGGGAGGUAGUGACGAAAAAUAACAAUACAGGACUCAUAUCCGAGGCCCUGUAAUUGGAAUGAGUACACUUUAAAUCCUUUAACAAGGACCAAUUGGAGGGCAAGUCUGGUGCCAGCAGCCGCGGUAAUUCCAGCUCCAAUAGCGUAUAUUAAAGUUGUUGCGGUUAAAACGUUCGUAGUUGACUUUGUGCUUCAUACGGGUAGUACAACUACAAUUGUGGUUUGUACAUUACCUUAUGUAUGCAAGCGUAUUGUCGGUGGAGUUCUUAUAUGUAAUAGUACUUGUAUUAUUAUAUAUUCCUCCUAUAUAAACCUGCUUCAGUGCUCUUCAUCGAGUGCUGUUGUGGGCCGAUACAAUUACUUUGAACAAAUUAGAGUGCUUAAAGCAGGCUCCAAAUGCCUGAAUAUUUUGUGCAUGGAAUAAUGAAAUAAGACUUCUGAUCUACUUUCAUUGGUUUUUAGAUCAAGAGGUAAUGAUAAAUAGAAGCAGUUUGGGGGCAUUAGUAUUACGACGCGAGAGGUGAAAUUCUUGGACC